CUAAUAAAGGAAGCAGCUCAAUGG
rnacentral:piRNA from 1 species